rnacentral:tRNA from 3 species
GGAAGGGUGUCCGAGCGGUUUAAGGAGCUGGUCUUGAAAACCAGUGACUCGCAAGAGCCGUGGGUUCGAAUCCCACCCCUUCCGCCA